ensembl:snRNA U4 U4 spliceosomal RNA
AGCUUUGUGCAGUGGCAGUAUCGUAGCCAAUGAAGUUUAUCCGAGGCGCAAUUAUUGCUAAUCGAAAACUUUUGCAAUACCCCAUUGUGAUGACCUGCCAUAUAGUCAGCACCGGCAAUUUUUGACAGUGUCUAUGGAGA